rnacentral:misc_RNA from 1 species
AAGUCGUAACAAGGUUUCCGUAGGUGAACCUGCGGAAGGAUCAUUAUUGAAAUAAACCUGAUGGGUUGUUGCUGGUUUUCUCUAGAGAACAUGUGCACGCUUGUCAUCUUUAUAUUUUCCCCUGUGCACCUUUUGUAGACCUGAAUACCUUUCUGAAUGUGCAGCAUUCAGGUUUGAGGAUUGACUUUUCUGUCUUUCCUUAUAUUUUCAGGCCUAUGUCUUUCAUAUACCCCCAAUGUAUGUUAUAGAAUGUAGCUAAUAGGUGUUGUACCUAUAAACUUUAUACAACUUUCAGCAACGGAUCUCUUGGCUCUC